rnacentral:rRNA from 1 species
AGGUAUAAAUUUCACGAAGCUGUGUGAGCUAAUUAUUAUUAUAUAUUAUGUAACAUAAUAAUAACAUGAAUAAUAAUUAGGGGUGAUAGGCCUCCCAAACACAUGAUAUCUUGAUUCUUAUGAUAAGUAAUAGUACAAGGACAACUAAAGAGUUCUAAGGCUUUUUAGAAUAAUAAAUUUAAAUUUACAUAACAAGCUGGUUUAAUAACCUGCAAAUAUUAACUAAUAAUAUUUAUAAUAUAUAAUUUAUUAAAAUUAAUAAGACUCAUUAAAUUUUAAAACUUGAUGAUAAUGUUUUCAUUAGUAUUAAGAAGGUAUUGGUAGUGAAUUCGGCAUUUUGCUUUCAACUGUUUACCAAAAACAUAGCCGUGUGAAUAUACAUGCGGUAUUUUCUGCUCAAUGAUAUUUAAAUAGCCGCAGUACCCUGACUGUGCAAAGGUAGCGAAAUCAUUUGUCUCUUAAUUGGAGUCGUGUAUGAAAGAAUAAAUGGGGGCAAUCUUUACCACCAGUAAAUUAAAAAAUUACUUAAUGGGUGCAAAUUCCCAUAUAUAAUAAAUAGACGAGAAGACCCUAGAAAUUUGUAAAAAUAUUUUGUUGGGGCAACAUAGUAGCAGUUAAUCUACUAUACAUAUAUGACAUAUUUUAGAUAAAAGAAAUUACUCUAGGGAUAACAGCAUAAUCUAUAAAUGUUUGUGACCUCGAUGUUGGAUUAGGGAGUUGUUGUUUAGA